rnacentral:misc_RNA from 1 species
UCGUAUAUCUGGCGGCGCAGGGUGCGCCCCGCUCCGGCCCCCGCGGCCGUGCAGCGGGUGCGCCCGAGCUGCUCAACCCACAAACCCACCGUGCACUCUUGUCGGCGGAGGGCCCCCCAGGGGCCCCGAGCCGGAUCACAGACUCCAAACGAUAAAGAAUGUCAAGCGGACGUUGUGCCGCCCAAAACUAAAAA